UCUCCCCAUAGUAAUAACCUCUUUCAGAGAAGGUUAAAAAGAGACAGUGCACAUGCUCAGAAAUGCUGCACUUGUUCUGUUAGCAGUUAGCAGCGGCCAUUUCAAAGAGACCAUCACAAAGACAAGAGAGAGAUCAGGUCGUCCCUGUGUUGAUUGCCAUGCAUUUGAGUUCAUGCAGAGGGCUCUGCAGGAUUUAAAGAAGACAGCAUAUAAUCUAGACACACGGACAGAAACUCUGCUUCUUCAGGUGGAA